rnacentral:lncRNA from 1 species
GAAUGGCUUACAAGAGCAGCUGAGCAGGUACCCAUUUCCUAAUAGUUAGAUUACCUUACAUAUGUAAAUGCAUCAAAAGCCUCUUGCAUUUACUUUACAGUGGGAGUUAAGCAAGUGCAUAUUAUGAUAUGACCAUAUGUUGAUGAACAAGGGAUUCGGCCUUUAGCAUGGGUAGGAUGUGUUGGAGAGCCAUAAAGAGAAUGGUACUCUUUGUGUACUCGUAUCUCAAUUAUGUUUGACAUUAUUGCUGGCAGUUAAUUGUCUGUACAACAAAAUACAUUCUGAUAGAAUUUAAGAUCAAGGAUCAAGAGAUUUCCAGCUUGUUGACAAAAUGCUUUUGUUUGUAAUUUGAAUGACUCAGACCUCAUUUUUCACCCUUAAUGUUGAGAUUCUUGCAGCAAAGAGCUUGUGAUUUAGUGUCAUAGCCAUGGCCGGAAUUGAAGUAGCCGAAGUUGAAGCUUUGAAUCCUUGAUCAGGCACUGAAGGCAAGGGAUGCUCGUUUCCA